AGGCGCUUUGCGCUCUUUGCGCCUCACGCGGCGUCGCGAGCGGGUUGGCCACCAGGGACCCCGAAGAGCUCUAAGAAGAGAGGUCUUGGUAGCAGAACACGAACAAUGAAACCUCAGCAGGCACACAAGUCUACUAACAAAAGAAAUUUUAAAAAAUAGAAAUAAAAUCUGAUUGGUAGUGGGUCAUAACCAUAGUUGGAAUCCAGAAGAUGGUGCCAAAUGUGACUUAUCCCGUUGGAUUGUAUAGCAGUGUAUCACAUGGAGUCAGCCUCAGCUCUGCCAUCCCUGGACUGGUCCUUUUCCAAGAGAACACAGAAGAGGAGAGAAUGGCAGCUGUGCCGCUAACAGCCAGAUGGCAGAAGUUACUCAAGUUUAAGGAUGUGGCUGUGAAGUUCUCAAAGGAUGAGUGGAAGCAGCUGAUUCCUAUUCAAAGAGCCCUUUACAGGGAGGUGAUGCUGGAGAACUAUCAGGAUUUUGUUUCUUUGGGGGACACAGGUUCGAUCCCUGGUCCGGGAAGAUCCCACAUGCCCCGGAGCAACUAAGCCCGCGUGCCACAGCUACUGAAGCCCGCACACCUCGAGCCCGUGCUCUGCAAUAAGAGAAGCCACCGCAAUGAGAAGCCCGCGCACCGCAACGAAGAGCAGCCCCCGCUCACCGCAACUAGAGAAAGCCCACGUGCAGCAAUGAAGACCAAUGCAGCCAAAAAAAAAAAAGAAAUUGAAAUACAGUCAUAAAGAACAACAAUAAUUUAAAAAAAAGAACAACAAUAAAGGAAAGGACUUCUAGCCCCUAAACCUGAUGUGAUUUUCCAGUUGAAGAGAGGUGAAGAGCCGUGGAAACUUGAUUUUCAGGAAGCGGAAGAGAAAGAAGUCCCAGGAGGUACUUCUCUAGACCAGAAGGCUAGACUUGAGAGCCAGGACUCAACUCAAAGGCAGGAUGUUUCUAAAAAAAUAAAGUCAUGAGAGACAUUAAUGGAAAAACUCAGAGAAGAUGGUCCUCUGGGCCCUGUACUUGGCCCAGAAAACCCUGUGGGCACGAUGAAGGAAAAUCCUUCAGGGGAGACUUUGAAGAAAUCCUCCCCCAAGGAAAAGGACUCCAGGCAAGGAUCCACUCCUGCUAAGAAAACCAACAGUAAAGGGAGAAGCUUUGCAGCAUAUGUAGGAAGACCUUAUUCAACCACUUGUCCCGCACUUGCAAUCAGAGGUCUCACACUGGAGAGAAGCCCUAUGAUUGUAAAGAGUGCGGGAAAGCCUUCAGCUAUCUGAGUAGUCUUAGAAACAUCUGAUGUCUCACUCUGGGAAGAACCCCUUUGAAUGCAGCAAAUGUGGGAAAACUUUCUAUGACCGAUUAACCCUCACUGAACAUCGGCGAACUCACACGGGAGAGAAGCCCUUUAAAUGUAACAAGUUUGGCAAGGCUUUUUUUGUCCAAUCCUCUUUUACACGACAUCAGAGAACCCAUAUUGGAGAAAGGCCUUAUGAGCGUACAGAAUGUGGGACAUCCUUUAGCCAGAAGAGCAUCCUUGCCCGCCACCAGCUCACUCACAGCGGAGAGCAGCCCUGUGGGUGCAAGGGGUGCGACAAAGCUCUGACCGCUCCUCGCUCCUCCGCCACAGGAGAGCCCACACUGGAGGGACUCCUUUUGGAUGUUGUGAGUGUGAAAAAAUUUUCUUUGACCACUCAUCCCUUAAUCAGCAUCAGAAUAUUCAUAAUAGAGACAAGCCCUAUAAAUGCACUGAAUGUGGGAAAGCCUUUCUCCAGAAAAGACGACUCAUUCAACAUCAGAGGGUGCACACUGGGGAGAAGCCCUACGAAUGCGGUGUGUGUGGGAAAGUGUUCAGUUGCAAAUCAUCUAUCAUCCAGCAUUAGCGACGUUAUACCAAACAGGCUUCAGAAUAUCAUAGAGGUGCUUCUGCCAGACAUGGGACCCCCGUAGAGACUUAGGAUGCUCUUAUUCAAAAUAACAAAGAUUUAUGUCUGAGCACUUCUGACUACUGCUUAUUCUCAUGCCUCCAUUUGGUACCACGGUCUCAAUAAAUAGCCUCAAUGGACUGUGCCAUAGACUUCCCCUAGGAUGCUUCAAAUUUAAGAUCAUACUCUGAGGAUCCCCAAAUUGGUCAUAACCUCUCCAAUCAAUAUGCUCUGUAAGUGUCUGAAGGGGACUCUAAGAUAGGCAUCAUAUAUUUUAUUCAUUCAUGCAUGCAUUUAUUUUUUCUAGACUGACUACUCCAUGAGACAGGAACUAUUUCAUAUCUGUGCACUGCUGUGUCCCCAGUGUGGUGCCUGACACUUACUACAUAUUUCCCGAAUGAAUGAAUACCUGUCUAGUCGUGAAAACUUGAGUCCCAAAUCCAAUGCACUUUCUAGAACCAGAAACUUCAGUAAGAAAAUAAACAUCAAGCUAAUAUAUUUAGCAAUGCAAAUACCUUCACUGUAGUUGUGCUAUUAGCUCUUAAUCCAUUCUUCUUGGAGCUUCUUGGAGCUCUGAUUUGGUUUAUAUGCUCUUGUUCUUCACUUUAGCUCCUCAGGACCUUCAGUUUCCCUGGAGUUUGCCUCUUUUGCCCUCUUACCUGACCUCUGGGCUCUGGUAGAGUAACCCAUCACCCAACUAUUCUUGUUUCUACCCAACUGCUCUUGUUUCUAGGGUAGUGGUUGUUUUUAUCUUUAAUCUCAUUGGUACUUAAGAUGCCUUAGCCUGGCUCUGUCAUUCCAUCAAUACCCUGGACACAAUA